rnacentral:lncRNA from 1 species
CUCAGAGUGGUUUUCCAGAUGGGAAUCACAUUGCUCUCUGUCCCUGAGAUCUUGCUGGAGACAGGGCUACUCAGUCCCUCUUUGCCAGAUUGAUAUUGGAAAAGCAGUUUCUAUUGAGCCCCCAAAUGAAGAGUGAGUGCAGAUGAAGAGGAGGCAGGACUCACAAGCCCUUGACCUUCAUUCCAGAUCUGUUAGCACCUACAGGACCCUGCACCAGGAUUUCAUCUGUACUAUCAGCUUCUUCAAAGAGAGAGAGGUUGUUGAAUUGAUAUUGGAAAAGCAGUUUCCCAUUGAGUCUCAAAUGAAGAGAGUGCAGAUGAAGAGGAGGUAGGAGUCACAAGCCCUUGACCCUCAUGCUAGACCCAUUACCAUCCACAGGACCUUGCAGUGGGAUUUCAUCUGCACCAUCAGCUUCUUCAGAGAGAGAGGUUGUUGACUCUUCAUGUGGAUGUCUGAGCUCAUAUCAGGUGUCUGAAAGAGGCAGAUUCUGAGGAUUUGGGUCAUGAUGGCUGCCAAAGCUUCUGCUCCUGACUUAAAGGGCAACAAUCCUAGGAGACCACCAGCACUUACAUCCCUGGUAGGACAUGACACCUGCUUAUGGCUCAGAAGUGACAAAAGAGAAUUAUCAGGAUGGCAGUCCUUAUAACCAGAUGCUUAUCAACAUUCUUCACUACAUUCUGAAGAUGAAUUUCUACAAGGGAAAUUGUUUAUGGAGGCAGCAGAUGGCUGAAAUUCUGAUCUGAUGUGGCUGGUUAAUGCAUGAUCUGAAAACCCCUGCACUGGUGAUUUUGGGACAGAUCUAGAAUAUACCAAUAAAUAUAUUAACAUACCAAGUAGUCUAGGAGCAGCCACUGGGCGAACACCAAACCUUGCAUCCCUGGUGCUGUCUCUGAGCUCAGCAGACACGUCUUUGCAGAAGAGUUCUAUAAUGGUGGUACAAUGGCGCCCCCUCGUGACAGAAGCUUGAACUACAGCUUGAACUUCGGUGAGCAGGAAGUGUGACAUGAUGAAUGAAUUUAUUGAGCCCCAGGAAGAAGGAAAAUUAAAGAAGAGCAAAGAAUAAUAGCUGGACAGAAGAUGGGGGUCAUUGAACCUAUAUCCUAGUUGCCAGACCAGUAAACUGACCACGGGACCUGGGGGAGGCAGCAGAUGACCGAAAACCUGGAGUGAUGUGGCUGAAUACCGCAUGAUCUGAAGACUGCACUGGUGGCUGCGGUAUGGGUCCAAAUUUUUCCUUAACAAAAACAAAAAAAGAGCCCAAAACCAUACUGACUAGUCCAGGAACGGCCAUUAGGCAAACACAACUUUUUGCUACCCUGGUGUUACCGAUUUCUGAGCUCAACAGGUGAAUUCAAAGAUAUGCCUGUCUUUCCAGCAUGGGGAGCUGGAUUUGGGUCAGCUCAGGCGCAUGAUGUUGAACAUCUCUUAUGAGCUUCUGAUAGUGCCCAGGAAGUACAGAAACAACUGUCUACAAAUCUUUGAACUCAAGGCAUAUCACAGGGACAUUUGCUUUCUUCAACUAGAUAUCUGUUUUCUCAUAAAGAGAAACAAUGAGAAAUGGUUUUUCACAAUGCCUCGUUAGCCCUGAGGCUCAGCCAUC